rnacentral:lncRNA from 1 species
GACAACGUAGCUCGUCGAGUUCAUACGUCAUACUUUGUUGUUAUUAUGAAAUUAGGUUAUGUUUUCUACAUGCAAGCGGAACGCGUGUGUGUCUCCUGACUUUACGUAGGAUUUAACUCUUGUAUAUUUUUUCUGAAGUCUCGCGUUGAUGUCAUUGAAUCUUUUUAUUUACUGUUCUUAAAUACCUAGUUGCCCUACUGAACGUAACUCAAAUCUACGUGAAUACUUUUUGACUCCUAUUUGCAGUAAUUCAUGUAGGUCAGAGCAAAUAACUGUAGUAUCCCUGAAAGAUGAAGACUAGUGCCAAGGAUGAACCAGUAGCAUCUACCUCCAGUGCACCUGUGGCAUCUACAUCUAGCAGUGUAAAACCUUCGAUUUCCACCGGAGAUGAAAUUCAAGAAGGGACAAAGAGGAAGACCUUCAAUUUACGAAGUCGUUCAGCCAAACCAAAAGAAGCUUCCUCGGCAAACCAGCAAAUUAAACUGGAAAGUUCCCCAACAACACUCCUUUGGACAGAUGUUGAAAAGCUCAAUCUGAUAGACAGUCUGUACAGAUAUGGAGUUGAGUCGAGACGCACUUACAACUGCCUCCCACAGAAGACGGAAGAACAGAUCAAGGGUUUUCUCAGGACUCGGCAGCGUCUGGCUCGUGUGAAAAAGCAGCUUCGUAUCAAUCAGGCGACAAAACGAAAAAUGAGGCUAGAGACAUGGGGUGUAGACCAAAAUCUAGUGACUCCCCUCGAGGAGUGGGUCAAAUAUUUUUUUGAGAAACGAGCCGAUAGUGAAGGCCCACAAGGGGUUAGUCCUGCGUUAAUGAUGCAGCUUCUGCCCACUACUUUUCUCAUUUUAUCACUCUUCGAGGCACAUCCUGAUCCUAAAGACUGCAAAGGAAUCAAUUAUAGAGAAGUGUACGAGUUCCUGUAUACAAUCACAAAAGGGAAUCCCAUCAAAAUGCUCCCGAAGGCUACUGCCAAUUUCCUAUUCAAAGCCUUCUAUGACUCCAGUAAAUUUUAUAAGGAUGCUGCCCUGACUAAUGAGUCCGGCUAUUUAAACGCUGUGACAAAUUCAAUAGUGGAAAAAACUUCAGCUGAACCAUCAGAUACAUCGGUGAUUGAAAAACCAACCAAGUUCAAGACAUACCCAGGAAAAAGGAAACAUCCUUCGGUCAGUGAAAAGGAUGAGGCAAUUCCAGAAUUUGUAUCGAAAUUAAUGAAGAUUAAUGCUGUGAAUCCGAUCCAAAUUCCUCCAAAAUAUUUUCAAGUACCAAGGCUCAGCAGUGAACCUAACAAGAUUAUACCACGGCACGUUCAUGCAGAGCGACGGAAAUUACAAGAUGCAGAUAAGUCUAUUACGCUCCCUUUUUUCAAUGAUUAAAAUCAUGUGUCCUCUUUUCUUUUUUAAUUUGUGAAGUUCAUUGAGUACAACUUCUAUUUCUGAACCAUAUUUCUUCAAGAGAGGAUGCAAAUCUUGUUACUUUAGAGUUAAGAUUUUUACCCUUUUUGCCUUAAGCUAAUUUUAAGCUCCAAAUACCUUUUAUGUGUUUUCGUUUUAUGAUACUUGACUGAUACUAUUGAUUCUUUAUAAUAAAUUGUUCCUCAAAUUAACCUGAUAAAUUUUUUUCCAUCUGCUCUAAAGAUGAUACUUUCCGAAAAUGGAAGAAUGCAUUUUGAGCGCGCAUGCACUCUCUUUAAGAAAAUAGUUUCAAAAAUAUUGAGCAAUGAUCAAUAACAGUUGAUCGUGGCAUGAAUUCAUGAUUAUGUAUAAUGAGUUUUGAACAUGUAACUCCUCUAAUCAUCCUGCACGAAAAUCUGGCCAAUCCUCAAAGAAUCUUUGUGCUGUUUUCAUAAUUUCAUCACCCAAUACAUAGAUAAAAACAAAUAUGAUAGCUCUGCUCAAUUACCAUACUUGUGAUGCAACAACUCUACUGUGUAAGGCAAGUAAGGUGCUGUACAUAUGGUGUUGUAUGUAUACCCUGCAAAAUUUAUUUUAUGCAAGUUUUUCAAUUGAUACUGCAGGAAUAGGAAGAGAAAUAAACAUUAUAGACCAGCAGAUGAAUUUUAAAAUUUUAUUUUAGCCGUAAGAACAGUUAUGAUAAAUCUAUUAUUUACACAGAUGUUUCAGAUCAAGUACUUUUUUCUUUUCUUUUGAGAGAGCUCUAAGAUAGAGAGGGAAACGACAAAAUGUUCAUGAAUUUCAUCACAGUAAACAGUUAAUCUUGUUCUGUGUUACUUUUAUUAUUUUUUACAAUCAGUUCUUACAGCUUUGAUUAGACGUGCUUCUGAAAGAUAGAAGAUGCAAUAUGUUGCAAACGUAGAUGAGGCUCUUUUAUUGUAAAAAUUACUGCAUGCAUGGUUAGAAGACCUCAAAUAAAUAGGAAGUUAUUGUAAUGUCUCUUAAAAACAGAUACAGACAUAUGAAAUACAUUAAAUGCAUUACGAUUGAAAUCAUUGAGAAAUUGGUAACACCGGUAUAGGAAUAAAAAAUAUUGCAGCUUAGAAAAUUGAAAUAAAUGGGACCUAUAAAUUAAGAGCAACUUCAAAAUACACAAAACAGUCAACUUUUUACGGACACAUGCAAUGGAAAUUAUCUUGAGAAUUACAAGUAAUCAUGAGAAGUUUGUUUGCAUUCAUCCAAAAAAUUUAAUACACCUGUUUUACCUGGUCUCAAAUUUUUGCUAUCGGAAGCCCAAAAUACACGCGGGACUUUUUACAAGAGUUCUACUACAGAAAAUUUAGAGUAUUUUAAGCCUAUCAACAUUUUGUCUCCACCAGGAAAAUUUGGCAAAUAUUUCCUGGAUAGAUGGAUUCAACAAGUCCAGAUACUAAAAAUAUGAGAAGAAAUGAAUUAGUAGUUCCAACAAAAGUCUUUUCACUUACAACAGACCACAGAGCUCGUCCUGAAAAUGUAACCGUGUCACUUUCUUCAAAUGAGCUUCAAGUGCGAUUGAAAAUCAGAGCCACUUCAUUUCAGUUCAAUGAUAGUGAAAAGGUACUUAACUUGUAAAACAUUCGAAAAUAAAUACUUAACUGGAGUAUAUAGGUACUGGUAAUACCAUUUGCUAUUGUAAAAAUUACUUUUUCAAACUGAGGGAAAAUUCAACUUUUCAAAGCUCUAAUACUUAGUGGAUUUUUUUUACAGGAGCUUAUUGAAAAGCCUGCUGAAGUCGACAGUUGAACUAUAGAAAUGCAUACCUCGGUUUAUUGUUUUGCAGACUUCCUGCUACACUUCAUUUUCUACAUUGAAAACUACUAAGCGUUAUUUCUUGAGAAUUUAGGAUGGAUGAAUUUUGAAUGAAGGUUCAGUCUCCUUUUAAAAAAUAAAACAGAAGUGGAGAUUUUGAAACACUGCAACUGAGAUAUGCAUUUUCGCAGUUCCACCGACAAAAUGCCUGAGUUUUCCAAGGUUUUAGGAUCAAAAUUAUUUUCAGCAGCUUGUGAAGAUUAAAAUACAUUUGGUGAUCCAGCAUGGUUGGAUCUUUGAUGCGGCAAGCGCACUUGAAAGCUGCCUUUUCAUGGAAACUAUACAAUUAAUUCUUACUAUUUUACUGUAGCACCAGCUGUUGAAUGUUUUUAGUUAACAAUUACACCUAACUUCAAGAAAUUCAGUAUUAACUACUGCUAGCAAAUGCAUUUCUUACAACUUAAAGGAUUCAAAUUAAUAUUUGGGUUAACAUCAAUAAAACUCUGAAAAUAACUAACACUAUAUACGCCGUUAAAUUUGAGACAUUUAGAAAUUUCCAGCCUCUAAAACUGAGUAAUGUGCAUUUGAAAUGUGUGCUGGUAGCUACCAGACUGAAUAGGAAACUUCUAAAUUUCCUGAAAUGUUGAGAUGAUAACCAGAAGACUAUUCUAACAAACUAACAAAUUGUAAAUUGGACCUGAAAAUUUGGUGUUCCGUUAUUAUUUGUCAUUUCUUAAAUUUCGCGCAACAAUAAAUUGGGGACUACCCAAUUUCAGUAAUAGUUAUAAACUAAAACUGUAAUGUUUUGGGGUGUCAUAUGGAGCAGCAAACUGGACUAAAAAACAAGAGGUGCUAUUCCAUAGCAAACUAAGAAUUUUGGCAUUCGACUUAGUGCUGAAACAGAGUGCGACAGUUCAGAGAAGUUGAAGGCUUUAAUUCUGAUUUUAACUAACCUGCAAUGCUAAAAAUAAAAUUCAGGCAAAUUUCUUUUCCAUUCAAGUCUCUCCUAUAAUAACAGAUACCUAACUUUAUAUCUACUCGCUUAUUAGUACAGAAGCAACUGGUUCUAAUUUUUUCUGUAUAUGAACACUGUAUCAAUCAGAUCAAAUCAUCAAUCCAAAAAAAAAAUGAAAUCUUCAUUUACAAUUCAGGUAAUUGAUAUGUAGUUGUGGAAUUAUUUUUGCCGCUAAGCCACACAGUGAAAGCACAAAAUUUCCAGGUCCUCAUUGAACACCAUUGUUCUUUUGAUUAAUCUCCCUCGGUACACCCUUAUGCUUGACUCAAAAUGACUAAGCUUUAAAUUAACUAAAAUUCACCGCAUUCUUUUCUUUUUUAGUGAGAAAAACAGUUCACCGAUUUUUUAAUGUAGGGAAAGAAUUUAAGUACAGGCAAUGAAUAAUUGGUCGAACCAACAGCCGAACAAUUUUCAAAAUUAAAAAAAAAAA